CCUACGGGAGGCAGCAGUAAGGAAUAUUGGUCAAUGGGCGCAAGCCUGAACCAGCCAUGCCGCGUGCAGGAAGACGGCCCUAUGGGUUGUAAACUGCUUUUGAACAAGAGAAAACCUCGGUACGUGUACCGAGCUGAUAGUAUUGUUAGAAUAAGCAUCGGCUAACUUCGUACCAGCAGCCGCGGUAAGACGAAGGAUGCAAGCGUUAUCCGGAUUCAUUGGGUUUAAAGGGUGCGUAGGCGGCCUGAUAAGUCAGUGGUGAAAUCUCUCAGCUUAACUGAGAAACUGCCAUUGAUACUGUCGGGCUUGAGUACAGAUGAUGUGGGCGGAAUAUGACAUGUAGUGGUGAAAUACUUAGAUAUGUCAUAGAACACCGAUUGCGAAGGCAGCUCACAAAACUGUAACUGACGCUGAGGCACGAAAGUGCGGGGAUCAAACAGGAUUAGAUACCCUGGUAGUCCGCACCGUAAACGAUGAUUACUCGUUGUUGGCAAUAUGACCGUCAGCGACCAAGCGAAAGCGAAUAAGUAAUUCACUGGGGAGUUACGCGGCACGGUUGAACUUCAAGGAUUGACGGCGNGAGAGNGCGAGGACGACGACGAGGAGAG
rnacentral:rRNA from 1 species